CGGGACGGGUGAGUAAUGUCUAGGGAAACUGCCUGAGGGAGGGGGAUAACUACUGGAAACGGUAGCUAAUACCGCAUAACGUCGCAAGACCAAAGAGGGGGACCUUAGGGCCUCUUGCCAUCGGAUGUGCCCAGAUGGGAUUAGCUAGUAGGUGGGGUAACGGCUCACCUAGGCGACGAUCCCUAGCUGGUCUGAGAGGAUGACCAGCCACACUGGAACUGAGACACGGUCCAG
rnacentral:rRNA from 1 species